UUAAAAAUUAAGUAUGAAAUUUUUUAAUUUUAAUAUUUUAAAAUAAAAAAAAUAAUAUAAAAUAUUUUAAGUUUAUUAUAUUUAUUAAUUAUAAAACAUUUAAACAAAAUUUAAUUUUUUUAUAUAAUUGAAAAAUAAAAAUUAUUUAAAAAUAAAAUAAAUUUAAUAUUUUUACCUUUUGUAUCAGGGAUAUUUAAAAAUUUAAUAAAAAAUAUUAUAUCUCGAAUUUAAAAUAUUUAAAUAAUUAUUAAAAUUAAUAUAAUAUUAUUAUUAAAAAUUAUUAUUUAAAAAUAAAAAAUUAUUUAAUUUUAAAAAUUUCUAGUUAUUUAAUAAAUAAAUUUAAUUUAAAAUUAAAAUUUAAUUAAUUUUUAUAUUUAAAAUUAAUUUUAAUUUAAAAAUUUUAGGGAUAAACUUAAAAUUUUAUUUAAAAUUUAAUAUUUAAUUUAAAUUUAGGAUUGUAUAAUAUAAUACAUAAACGUGUAUACAUGUAUAUACAUAUAUAAAUAUAAAUAUAUGUAUAUAUUUAUAUAUGUCCCAUAUAUUUAUGGACAUAUAUAAGUAUGUAUAUAUAUUUAUAUUUAUAUAUGUAUAUCCAUGCAUAUAUGUUUAUAUAUUAUAUAUAUUUAUAUAAUCCUUAAAAUUUAAUAUUAAUAAAUUUACAUUUUACUUUAUAUAAAAUUUAAAAUUUUUAAUAUUUAUAAAAAUUUAAUAAUUUAAUUAAUUUAAAAUUUAUUUAUAAAAAAUUUAAUUAUAUAUUAAAUUAUAUUUAAUAAUAAAAUUUAAAAUAAUAAAAAUGAAUUAUAUUAGUAAUAAAUUAAUUUAUAAAUAUUUUUAAAUUUAAAAAUAAUUUAAGGAAUUAGACAAAAAUAAUUAUUCAAAUGUUUAACAAAAACAUUUUCUAAAGAUUAAAAUUUUAAUUUUAGAUAAAAUCUGCUCAAUGAAAAUUUUUAAAUAGCUGCAAUAUUCUUAAUUGUACUAAGGUAGCAUAAUAAAUAGAUUUAUAAUUUAAAUCUAGAAUGAAAGAUUAAAUGAAAUAAAAAUUGUCUCAAAUUAAUAUAUAAAAUUUUAUUUAAGUUAAAAUUCUUAAAUAAUUAAAAAAGACGAAAAGACCCUAUAGAAUUUUAUAUUUUAAAUUAUAACUAAAAUUAAAUUUAAAAAUUAAAUUAUUUAAAAUAUUUAUUUGGGGUAAAUUUAAAAUUUAAUAAACUUUUAAAAUUUUUAAACAAUUAUUUUUGUUAAUUAAUAUUUUAAGAUCCUAUUUAAUGAUUAAUAAAAAAAAUUACCUUAGGGAUAACAGCAUAAUUUUUCUUAUAAGAACAUAUUUUUAGAAAUUUUAUGACCUCGAUGUUGAAUUAAGAUAAAAUAAAAAUGAAAAAUUUUUUAAAUUUAAGUCUGUUCGACUUUUAAUAUCUUACAUGAUUUGAGUUAAAAUCGGUGUAAACCAGAUUGGAUUCUAUCUUUUUAAUAAAUUUAUAAUUUUGUACGAAAGGAAUUAUUAUAAAGUUUAAAUAUUUAAAAUUUAAAAUAAAAUUAAAUUUAAU
rnacentral:rRNA from 1 species